CCCUUGUGCAUUCUCUCUCUCUAAACAAAAUCUUGGGGAAAAAAAGGAGUCGUGGCAGUAUAGAAGGUUGGGCCUCAUUUUAUGGUGGGCUGAGUAAUUGUCUGUUGUUUCUUUGGGAUCAUUCCUUAGGGUCCAGAGAAGCUUUCAGGAACAUUCCUUUUGGAACCAAACUGUUUAUGCUUUUGAAGUAUUCCAUUGGCUGUCAAGAAUUCUCAUUAACUGAAAAGGUAAUGAAGAAAAAGCCUGUACUUUUGGAGACCUAGAAUCUUACUUAUGCUAAUAAGCUUUUGACUGCGAUUUCGUGGUCCGGUAUUUCCUGCUGGCAUCUUGGUGGUCCCACGGAGCUCCCCACCCUCCAGUGAAGAUGGCUGUCCACAACUACCACCGUUGAAACCAAAGGUAAGUGUUGAAAAAUGCACCUUUUACAUAAAAAAGUAGAAACCAA